CAACGUCCUCACAAGUCAUUCAUCAAUUUGCCGUUCAAGCGGAAAUAUAUAAACAGCGCUGACAUGGCAAUGAUUCAGUGCUGCUUCGUAGGCUUUAUUUUACUCUAUCCGCAAGACUUUGGAGUGCACGAUACGACUGACGAGGAUUUCGAGGGUUUUUGUCAUGUUUGGAGGUGUAUCGGAUAUUACCUCGGAAUGGAAGAUGAGUAUAACUUCUGCCGUGGCAGCUUGAAGGAAAUAAAACAACGCUCGAGAGAUUUCUUUCAAUAUUGGAUGAUCCCUAAUUUGAAGGAAGUGACACCCGAAUGGGAACACAUGACGAGAUGCGUCGUCGAACCGUUCAACUAUUUUCUCUGCAUGUAUAUGACUUAUAAGGCCGCGAUAUUGCUUAUUACAGAUUCAUUUCAUAUAAACAUGCCGCGUUUACAUGAAUCUCUACUUAGACUGGAUCACUUAUAAGAUAUGGAAAUUUGUAUUGCGUUAUGCUUUGAAGUUAUCGAUCAUAAGAUCAUCUUUUAAUAAAGUGUUACUAAGUACACUGAAGUAUAUGGUGAAUUGUAGUCCAGAAAAAGAAGCGAAACUUCACAUGCGAUCUAUGAAAGAAACGCAGGAUUUUUCUAUCACAUUUCUUUCACAACAGUAAAAUGGAUAAAAUCAGCUAGCAAUUUAUUUGGCGUGUACUAUUUGUUACUACGGGCAGAAUCAUUAAUCUCUAUCAUUUUUAUCACAUUUUAUCAGGAAAAAAGAUUAGAUUAGAAAAUAAUUCGACUGUAGAAAAUAAUUAACUGUAGUAAUAGAGAGCCACUACCUGAAACAUAAACAAAAAAAUUUUCCUAACUUAAAUGAGGUCUGACUCAAUUAAUCUAGAGUCAAUAUUUAAAAUUGAAAAUUGACAAAGCUUUUCAAAGAUUAUUUUAAAUAUUUUAGUCUUAUUUUAAUCUUUAAAAGAGAUUGUUUUGUCAAUUUUCAAUUUUAAACAUUGAUUCUAGGUGAGUCAACUCACAACUUUAUAUAAAUUCGAAAAUUUUAUUUUUAUUUUUCAGAUGGCUCUUUAUCAUUUCUAUAGAAAGAACAUAAUCCUACAAUUCUUACAUCUACAAUCCUUAAUUUAAUGCCAUGUACAUUAUCCACUGUACAUUAUCCACUAGACAAUAAAAAAUACCACUAUAAUUUCGAAAAAAACAAUAAUAAAUAUUUUCACAAAA
rnacentral:lncRNA from 13 species